GACAUAAUAUAUAUAAAAAUUGUCUGAUAAAUGUAUAGGUCUUGUUCAGGAACAGAAGAAAUUGACAGAAAAAAUAUGAAGUUUUAGCCAUCAAAUACAAAUAUUAAUAUUUUUAGAAUAUUAUUUAAUAUAAGAUGAAAAAGAAUUAAAAUAUAAUUUUUCCCCCUUUAAUCAUAUGUUUGAAAACAAAGCCUCAGAAAUGUGUACCAUUUAUAUCUAAUAUUGUUGCACAGUAUAUCCUAUUAAUCCCUGAAACAUAUCACUUUAGUUUCUAGAACAGCAUGUCAAUUACUAUAUUUUUUCUUAGAAUGAUGUAUAGGGUUCAUUAAUUUAUUUUCAUUAUAUUAACCUAGAUACAAAUAGGCCUACUGCAACCAUUUCAUCGUUUAAAUUGUAUGGAGCUUAUGAAACAAGUCUAGUGAUUAAUUUUGAAUUACCUUUCAUAUGAAAUAUGUCAUCUAAAUCUGUUAUUGCUGUACAGUAUAUCCUAUCCAUUUAAUAUAUCACUUUAUUUAUGUCGAACUGCAUGUCUAUUAGUUUUAUGAUUUUUAAAGAUUGAUAUAUGCAAUUUUAUUAAUUAAGAAAAUUUAUUUUAAGAAAGAUCUCUUACAACCUCUGUAUUUUUUUUCAACCAAUAAUACAGUGUAUUUCUAGUACUACAUUUGAAAAUGUACUUCUUUCGUGCAUUUUUCAUGCCUUAUACUCAUUGUAAUAUGUAUUAUGUGUAAUUAAAAUACUUUGAAAACUUU
rnacentral:sRNA from 1 species